rnacentral:misc_RNA from 1 species
UCACACAAUCUCCAUCUUCCCACCACACAGGAAACCAGUUAUGGAAUGAAGUUGGGAUUCAGAUGAAGGUUAAUCUGAAGUUUUACGAGUGUGGCAAUCAACAUAUUACAGGUUGUUCUUGAACUAAAAUGUAUGGUAUUCCAAGCUGGGCCAUCAUUGGUGACAUGGGUUAUGCUUUGAGUAGGCUGGAGAUUGGUUCUGACUGUGAUGGUGACAUGAGUAUCAAUGCAACGGGUGAAGGUCAAGUGUCCAAUAAGCCUUUGAAUAAUUUAGAUGAUGAAAUUGCACAGCUCACUAGAAUGAAAUCAGGACCUAGUACACAUUUAAGUCGAGUACUGCCUGGGAAGCGGGAGGUUUCUGUUUCCCCUGUAAAAAUGUUGGCAGGUAGGGAAUGUAACUACUCAGGAAAGGGAAGGUUCUCAGCUGGAGAUUGCUGUCACGUUUUAAGCAGAUAUUUGCCUGUUAAUGGUCCAUGGCUUGUGGACCAAAUGACUAGCCGAGCUUAUGUCUCACAGUUUUCAUCAGAUGGUUCCCUAUUCG